GAUCAUAGCUCAGGAUGAACGCUAGCUACAGGCUUAACACAUGCAAGUCGAGGGGCAGCGGGAAGUCAGCUUGCUGACUUUGCCGGCGACCGGCGCACGGGUGAGUAACACGUAUCCAACCUUCCCGUUACUCUGGAAUAGCCUUUCGAAAGAAAGAUUAAUACCGGAUAGUAUCGAGAGAUUGCAUGAUAACCCGAUUAAAGAUUCAUCGGUACGGAAGUGGGGAGUGCGUUCCCUAUUAGGUCGAG
rnacentral:rRNA from 1 species